GAAGGAACGAAACUGACGGUACUUUCAGAAGAAGGUGCGGCCAACUACGUGCCAGCAGCCGCGGUGACACGUAGGCACCAAGCGUUGUCCGGAUUUAUUGGGCGUAAAGAGCUCGUAGGCGGUUCGGUAAGUCGGGUGUGAAAACUUUGGGCUCAACCCAAAGCGUGCAUUCGAUACUGCCGUGACUAGAGUUCGGUAGGGGAGUGGGGAAUUCCUAGUGUAGCGGUGAAAUGCGCAGAUAUUAGGAGGAACACCGGUGGCGAAGGCGCCACUCUGGGCCGAAACUGACGCUGAGGAGCGAAAGCGUGGGUAGCAAACAGGAUUAGAUACCCUGGUAGUCCACGCCGUAAACGUUGGGCACUAGGUGUGGGUCUCAACCAACGAGAUCCGCGCCGUCGCAAACGCAUUAAGUGCCCCGCCUGGGGAGUACGGCCGCAAGGUUAAAACUCAAAGGAAUUGACGGG
rnacentral:rRNA from 1 species